CAGUAGCCGCGGUAAAACGUAGGGUGCGAGCGUUAAUCGGAAUUACUGGGCGUAAAGCGUGCGUAGGCGGUUCGUUAAGUCUGUUGUGAAAGCCCCGGGCUCAACCUGGGAAUGGCAAUGGAUACUGGCGAGCUAGUAGGUGAGAGAGGUAAGUGGAAUUCCGGGUGUAGAGGUGAAAUUCGUAGAUAUUCGGAAGAACACCAGUGGCGAAGGCGGCUUACUGGCUCAUUCUAGACGCUGAGGUGCGAAAGCGUGGGGAGCAAACAGGAUUAGAUACCCCGGUAGUCCCUGUCUCUUAUAC
rnacentral:rRNA from 1 species